CCCCCGAACCUCUAGCUCGAGCUCGAGGUGCUCUCCAUCCCCUCCCCAUCGCCAUGGCCGUCGCCUCGGGCUCUGCUCGAUCCCGGGGCUGCCACGCCCCUCUCGCCGUUCCGCCCCCACCAUAGAGAUCCCUGGGGUCCGGUGAGCCGCCUCGUUGCCUUGCCCACCCAGUUGCCCCACCGGAGCACCUUGCUCGACGGUGGCCGAAGCCUCUCUCCGCCGCGCGCCCUGCUGCUCCCUCCCUAGUGCUCCUCGAUGGCAGCUGACACCACAAUGGGAUGCGCCUAUCGCUCCUGAGCUCGUGGGUAGGUCGGCCGUCGUCUUCGGUGGCCGGAGCCGCCGGCAAUCGCCGUCGAGGCGAGCCCCUCCCUCUGUCAGGCACGCCACGAGCGGGAGGUUGAAGACGCCAGGCCAAGAGGGCCCCUUCCCGCGCGACCCUACCUGGCAGCGUCUCGGCGUUCACCCCGCCACGGGCCCGCGUCUGUAAGUGGAAGCGUAUUCUGGAAAACGUAUUCAAUUUAAAGGCGCGUUCAGGUUUUCCUCCAGGGGCCUGUUUGCUGAAAAAAUUCACCGAUAGGUCCCUGAGAUUCAACCCUUCGUAUCUCGACAACCGUAACUCCGAUUGAGCCCCCUCCGAGAGAGAACUGUUUCCGGCAACUCUUUCCGCGAUGGUUUCACACUUCUUCCCGAAGUAUUUGUCGACCCCAGGCAA